UACGAAGGGGGCUAGCGUUGCUCGGAAUCACUGGGCGUAAAGCGCACGUAGGCGGCUUUCUAAGUCAGGGGUGAAAUCCUGGAGCUCAACUCCAGAACUGCCUUUGAUACUGGGGAGCUCGAGUCCGGAAGAGGUGAGUGGAACUCCGAGUGUAGAGGUGAAAUUCGUAGAUAUUCGGAAGAACACCAGUGGCAAAGGCGGCUCACUGGUUCGGUACUGACGCUGAGACGCGAAAGCGUGGGGAGCGAACAGG
rnacentral:rRNA from 1 species